CAGAGACUGCAAGCGUUAUUCGGAUUCACUGGGCGUAAAGGGUGCGCAGGCGGCCAAGUGUGUGAGGCGUGAAAGCCCGGGGCUUAACCCCGGAAUUGCACCUCAAACUACAUGGCUAGAGCAUUGGAGAGGGUAGCAGAAUUCAUGGUGUAGCAGUGAAAUGCGUAGAUAUCAUGAGGAAUACCAGAGGCGAAGGCGGCUACCUGGACAAUUGCUGACGCUCAGGCACGAAAGCGUGGGGAGCAAAAGGGAUUAGAUACCCCUGUAGUCCACGCCCUAAACGGUGCACACUAGGUCUUGGCGGAUUCGACCCACCAGGGCCCAAGCUAACGCGUUAAGUGUGCCGCCUGAGGACUACGGCCGCAAGGCUAA
rnacentral:rRNA from 1 species